rnacentral:rRNA from 1 species
GCAGAACGCGAAGAACCUUACCUGGCCUUGACAUCCAUGGAAUCCCGAAGAGAUUUGGGAGUGCCGCAAGGAACCAUGAGACAGGUGCUGCAUGGCUGUCGUCAGCUCGUGUCGUGAGAUGUUGGGUUAAGUCCCGCAACGAGCGCAGCCCUUGUUCUUAGUUGCCAUCAUUAAGUUGGGAACUCUAAGGAGACCGCCGGUGACAAACCGGAGGAAGGUGGGGAUGACGUCAAGUCAUCAUGGCCUUUAUGGCCAGGGCUACACACGUGCUACAAUGGCAAGUACAGAGGGAAGCCAACCGGCGACGGGGAGCUAAUCCCAGAAAACUUGUCUUAGUCCGGAUUGCAGUCUGCAACUCGACUGCAUGAAGUUGGAAUCGCUAGUAAUCGCAGAUCAGCAUUGCUGCGGUGAAUACGUUCCCGGGUCUUGUACACACCG